ACGAACGCUGGCGGCGUGCUUCACACAUGCAAGUCGAACGGAAAGGCCCUGCUUUUGUGGGGUGCUCGAGUGGCGAACGGGUGAGUAACACGUGAGUAACCUGCCCUUGACCUUGGGAUAACUUCAGGAAACUGGGGCUAAUACCGGAUAGGAGCUCCUGCUGCAUGGUGGGGGUUGGAAAGUUUCGGCGGUUGGGGAUGGACUCGCGGCUUAUCAGCUUGUUGGUGGGGUAGUGGCUUACCAAGGCUUUGACGGGUAGCCGGCCUGAGAGGGUGACCGGCCACAUUGGGACUGAGAUACGGCCCAGACUCCUACGGGAGGCAGCAGUGGGGAAUAUUGCACAAUGGGCGGAAGCCUGAUGCAGCAACGCCGCGUGCGGGAUGACGGCCUUCGGGUUGUAAACCGCUUUCGCCUGUGACGAAGCGUGAGUGACGGUAAUGGGUAAAGAAGCACCGGCUAACUACGUG
rnacentral:rRNA from 1 species